rnacentral:lncRNA from 1 species
GAGGGAUAGUUCCAUAGUCUCAAGAUGAGUGGGUUCGAUACUCGUAGAUAGUAUUUCGUUUCUUUUUUAGCAUUUCAUUUUUUAUUUCUUUUUAGUAUUUUAUUAUCUUUUAGCAUUUUGUUUCUUUUAAUAGUUUUUUUUAUGUCCAUGAUUUUUUUUUUUUUUAAUCCAUCAUGCAUGCAAAACCAUUUUAAAACUAAAAAAAUCAUACUUUUCUCGAUUUAAUAUCGAGCCCCUUUUUCACACCCUUGUAAGUCGAUGGCCUUUUUAAGCCUCGCCGUCAACCUCA